UCUAAGUACCCCGAGGAAAAGAAAUCAACCGAGAUUCCCCCAGUAGCGGCGAGCGAACGGGGAGCAGCCCAGAGCCUGAAUCAGUGUGUGUGUUAGUGGAAGCGUCUGGAAAGGCGCGCGAUACAGGGUGACAGCCCCGUACACAAAAAUGCACAUACUGUGAGCUCGAUGAGUAGGGCGGGACACGUGGUAUCCUGUCUGAAUAUGGGGGGACCAUCCUCCAAGGCUAAAUACUCCUGACUGACCGAUAGUGAACCAGUACCGUGAGGGAAAGGCGAAAAGAACCCCGGCGAGGGGAGUGAAAAAGAACCUGAAACCGUGUACGUACAAGCAGUGGGAGCACGCUUAGGCGUGUGACUGCGUACCUUUUGUAUAAUGGGUCAGCGACUUAUAUUCUGUAGCAAGGUUAACCGAAUAGGGGAGCCGAAGGGAAACCGAGUCUUAACUGGGCGUUAAGUUGCAGGGUAUAGACCCGAAACCCGGUGAUCUAGCCAUGGGCAGGUUGAAGGUUGGGUAACACUAACUGGAGGACCGAACCGACUAAUGUUGAAAAAUUAGCGGAUGACUUGUGGCUGGGGGUGAAAGGCCAAUCAAACCGGGAGAUAGCUGGUUCUCCCCGAAAGCUAUUUAGGUAGCGCCUCGUGAAUUCAUCUCCGGGGGUAGAGCACUGUUUCGGCAAGGGGGUCAUCCCGACUUACCAACCCGAUGCAAACUGCGAAUACCGGAGAAUGUUAUCACGGGAGACACACGGCGGGUGCUAACGUCCGUCGUGAAGAGGGAAACAACCCAGACCGCCAGCUAAGGUCCCAAAGUCAUGGUUAAGUGGGAAACGAUGUGGGAAGGCCCAGACAGCCAGGAUGUUGGCUUAGAAGCAGCCAUCAUUUAAAGAAAGCGUAAUAGCUCACUGGUCGAGUCGGCCUGCGCGGAAGAUGUAACGGGGCUAAACCAUGCACCGAAGCUGCGGCAGCGACGCUUAUGCGUUGUUGGGUAGGGGAGCGUUCUGUAAGCCUGCGAAGGUGUGCUGUG
rnacentral:rRNA from 1 species